rnacentral:lncRNA from 1 species
GCAGACUCCAUCUUCCCCCAGCAUGCACCUUGUGUGGAUUCUCUGCUUCCUUAGGCCACAAGCCCCAGGUGGUCCUUUACUCUCCUCCCUUUCCUGAUUUUGACAAGUUACUUGAGAGCUUUGUUGUGAACACAGCCUACUCUCCAGGGCCGGAGAGAGAGACCUGUCUGCAUUCCAACACUGGCUGGGCCUGAAAACUGAAAACUAUUUCUGCAGGCAGGCAGAAGCUGAUUUCCAUAUGUCGCAAGCCGUGUCAAGUGUCACAGGCAGGGAACAAGAAGAAUUCUCUGCUUUGGUGACCUGGGACCAGCAAUAGAAGUAGGAAGAUUGCUCUCAGAGGCUUUGAGAGGAAGCAGGAGAAAGAGGCCGUGACCUUCUUCUGACCUUUGGCUCAUAAAUGACAGACUCCCCAGAGCACUUCUGUCUAGUUGGAUUCUGUACCUGGGAUCUCAGCCUUUACGUAGAAGCCAAGCAGCUGAACAGAAGGCAAGAACCGGAGCUACGGCAGCAUUUUUGGAACCCAGCAAAGCUGAACUUAAGCUGGAUUCAUCGCUAUGCCAAGGUGGCAGAGGUAGACACAAGAGGGCAAGCUAAUUCCCUGCUCACUUGAGUGUGAAUGGUGUGUUGUUGUUGACUGGCCUUGAACUUGUGGUCAUCCUGCCUCAUCCUCCCAAGUUCUGGGAUUACAGUUGUGCACCAACACACCUAGCCGAAAAUGGUCUCUGAAACCUAAUGUUGCAUGGCGACUCUGUGUCUUUUGCUGUUUGUACAUCUGCUGAUGGAUGAUGUUUUGGUUUCUCUUCUCCCCUCCCCCCCCGCCCCCCC